rnacentral:rRNA from 1 species
AUGGAUCUAGUCUCCGUACAGGCAGGAUUAACUUCUACGGGAGAUGGUGCAUUGGCAGAGAAUUUCCCCAACCCCAACCAAGGGGAGAGGGUGUGCUUCAUCUCGUUCCUUCUGAGGGGCGUAGGAUUCCCGAUCCACCCCUUCCUCAGGGGUCUACUGGAAUAUUACGGGAUCCAGCUACACAACCUCACACCAGGUUCCAUUCUGCAUAUUUCUGGUUUUGUCGCCCUUUGCGAAUUAUUUUUAGGUUGUGAGGCUCAUUUUGAACUAUGGAAAAAGUUCGUUUGCCUUGUCCCCCACCACUAG